rnacentral:rRNA from 1 species
GACAGGAAGGACAAGCGUUAUUCACCAUUAUUAGGUGUAAAAAGUGCGUAGAUUCGCCAACUUUUUUAUUUUUUCUAAAGGCUUUAAAGCUGCUAAAGAAAAUAUAAUUUGGUAAAUGAGUACAGUGGAGGUUAAUGUAAUUGCUAAAGGAGGGGUGAAAUCCAUUGAGAUUAGUAGGAAGGCUAAAUGCGAAGGCUAUUUUCCACACUGUUCUGACAUUGAGGCACGAAGGUCUAGGUAUCAAACGGG